rnacentral:rRNA from 1 species
UACGGAGGGAGCUAGCGUUGUUCGGAAUUACUGGGCGUAAAGCGCACGUAGGCGGCUUUGUAAGUUAGAGGUGAAAGCCCGGAGCUCAACUCCGGAAUUGCCUUUAAGACUGCAUCGCUUGAAUCCAGGAGAGGUGAGUGGAAUUCCGAGUGUAGAGGUGAAAUUCGUAGAUAUUCAGAGGAACACCAGUGGCGAAGGCGGCUCACUGGUCCAUUACUGACGCUGAGGUGCGAAAGCGUGGGGAGCAAACAGG